CUCGUAGGCGGUUCAACAAGUCGGUCGUGAAAGCCCGGGGCUCAACCCCGGGACGCCGGUCGAAACUGUUGUGACUAGGGUCCGGUAGAGGUGAGUGGAAUUCUCGGUGUAGCGGUGGAAUGCGCAGAUAUCGAGAGGAACACCAGUAGCGAAGGCGGGCUCACUGGGCCGGUACCGACGCUGAGGAGCGAAAGCAUGGGGAGCAAACA
rnacentral:rRNA from 1 species